rnacentral:tRNA from 1 species
GCUUGGAUGGCUCAGUUGGUUAGAGCGCAGGUCUCAUACGUUUGUAUGACUGUGAAUUUACGCAGUAAUCCUGAGGUCGUGAGUUCGAUCCUCACUCCGAGCA